UUGUCACUUCCAGGGGAAGAAAGAUCUUCCGGACUCAUAUCUUCGGAACUCAUCAUUCACUAUCGAUCACAAAUAAAGUUAGUUAUUGUAUACGUGUUUUUUCUCAACUUCGGAUAUUUCGAGUCUGAAUUAUAACACAACUUUCUUUGAUUAUGAAAAAAAUGCUUGAAUUUCCAACUUUACACCUGUGGUCUUCAAUGCC
rnacentral:lncRNA from 1 species